ACGCGCGAACGCGUCUCGAUCGUCGGAGCGUAAAAGUCCGGCUCGAGGCGUCUAGUAGUCGCGUUCGUAAGGCGCAUUUCUCGAGGGUUAGCGCCGCGACCGAUGCGAACGGCCGACGACGCCGUCGAGUUGAGGUCGAACGCCCUUCGCGGGUAUUCGUAACCAGCUCGUUCGGUUUCGAUCGUUGGAUCUAUCUAUAUUAGCAUCGAGCGAAUACUUAAUAAAUACGUCGGCGUAAAACGCUCGACGAGCGGCGGAGACUCGGCCAGUCGUUCGAUACCUGCUCGCAGGUGCUCGUUCGGCGCGAGGUCGUUUCCCGAUGUCGCCGUCGACCCUACCGACGUUUAGGCGUCCGCGGCGUCCGAGUCGGCCACCCGUCCGACCCGUCUUGAAACACGGACCAAGGAGUCUAACGUACGCGCGAGUUAAUGGGCGGAAAACCCAUAAGCGCAAUAAAAGUAAAAGUCGUCCCAAGACGGCCGAGGUACGAUCCUAGACUACGCGUCUAGGCGCAGUACCGUCCCGUCCCGACCGCACGUCGGUAGGGCGGAGAUUGAGCGCAUACGUUGGGACCCGAAAGAUGGUGAACUAUGCCUGAGCAGAGCGAAGCC
rnacentral:rRNA from 1 species